UUGGAACAAUCAAUCAGAUAAAUUGACAAACAGAUACCAUGAAAGUGAGAAACAUAGAAUACGCACGAAAAGCAGGUUCUUUUAUAUCACUAGUACUAAAGAUUACCAAAAUCAAUUUAUUUGAAAGUUAUCUAUCAGUGAUCAAAACUAAGGUAACCAAAAUCAAUUUAUUCGAAAGUUAUCUAUCAGUGAUCAUAACUAAGGAGAGAAAUCAAGAUCAAAAUACAUGCAAAA
rnacentral:misc_RNA from 1 species